rnacentral:rRNA from 1 species
AGUGAACGCUGGCGGCAGGCCUAACACAUGCAAGUCGAACGGCAGCACAGCAGUAGCAAUACUGUGGGUGGCGAGUGGCGGACGGGUGAGGAAUACAUCGGAAUCUGCCUUAUCGUGGGGGAUAACGUAGGGAAACUUACGCUAAUACCGCAUACGACCUACGGGUGAAAGCGGAGGACCUUCGGGCUUCGCGCGAUAAGAUGAGCCGAUGUCGGAUUAGCUAGUUGGCGGGGUAAAGGCCUACCAAGGCGACGAUCCGUAGCUGGUCUGAGAGGAUGAUCAGCCACACUGGAACUGAGACACGGUCCAGACUCCUACGGGAGGCAGCAGUGGGGAAUAUUGGACAGUGGGCGCAAGCCUGAUCCAGCCAUGCCGCGUGGGUGAAGAAGGCCUUCGGGUUGUAAAGCCCUUUUGUCCGGAAAGAAAAGCAUCGGGUUAAUACCUCGGUGUUCUGACGGUACCGGAAGAAUAAGCACCGGCUAACUUCGUGCCAGCCGCCGCAGUAA